GCAAUGUAAAUUCACAGUGCCUCCUUUGAGCUGCAAUAGACAGUGUGUAAAGUACAUCUAAAGCCAGGUGCCAAUAAAGCUGUGGUGAUAUACAACACGCUUUAAGAAAAGUUUAUUUCCAUCACACUGUAAAGUGAUCUAGAGGAAAAGCAGAUGUGUUUUGCCUAUUGGCAUACAUAGCCUAUUACGUGUAUUUGUUUUUAUUUAUGCUAUUAUAAUUACAACCGGGUCACCAACUAAUGACAGAUUGAGUAAAUUAACAUAUCCUUCUUGACUCUUCAACUGAAUGUAAUGGUAUUUAAGAAGCCUUUAACAUUAUGUGCUCAACAUUAAAUCUGUAACAUGUAGCCAACAUUAAGAAUAGGGUUGUGCCGGUGAGGAAAAUUUCCCAUUGAUUAGUUAACUUAUGACAACACCAAUGUUAUUUGUUAAUCUCUUCUGUAGAUUUUGAUCUUUUUAAGUUGUUAUGAUAUAUUGUUAAUUAAAAAACAACAGUAAAAUAGUACAA